rnacentral:lncRNA from 1 species
ACUAGUCUGGAGUCGACUCGAGCUCGUGCCAGUGAACUUGAUACGCUUGGAGUCGACUCGUGAUACUCGGGAGUCGACUCGAGUCUCAGACUUUGGUUCAGCAGACUUCUUAACUUAUCCAAAAUACUAUGAACCAAAUCUAGAGACACUUGGACAGGAUUUUCACUGAAACACUCAAUUGAAUUCAUUAGUAAUCACAAGAUAUACUCAAAUGCUUUGAGCUCAUCAAAAUCAAAUGGGGUUUUAAUCAAU